UCUAUUUCCUGAGGAGGCUCCGGCCAUUCAACGUAUGUAACAUCAUGCUGAGGAUGUUCUACCAGUCGGUGGUAGCCAGUGCCAUCUUCUUUGCUGUUGUGUGCUGGGGCAGCAGGCUGAGGGCAGCAGGCUGAGGGCAGCAGGCUGAGGGCAGCAGACUGAGGGCAGCAGACGCCAAGAAGAUCAGCAGGAUCACCAGGAAGGCUGGCUCCAUCCUGGGGGUCCAACUGGACUCUUUGGUGGUGGAGUCUGAGAGGAGGAUGCUGUGUAAACUGCACAGUAUCCUGGACAACAACGCUCACCCUCUCCACCAGCACUUGAAUGCAGCAUUUCCGUUACGUCUCCCGUUCACCUGUUGGUCCCGGUUAGCCUAUCGACAGGACGACUGAAUCUGACCACGCAGCCAACAGACAUAAGGUGCCUUUGUCUUCGGGGACUGCAGGUCAUCUUCAGGGAUGAUCCCUCUGAAUUCUUCUAAACCUUCUCUGACGCAAUUGACAAGGACUUGUACAGUCAGAUGCGAGUGGGAAUCUUCUGCAUUGAUGAAAAUCCUCAGCUCAACCCAUCCAGAGUAGGCAUCGUGUUGGAGGGGGUUGUGGUCAUGGAGGAGCUGGCCAACCUACCACAGGCCUUCUGUGAUCUUUUUGGACUGAUCUAUGCCUUGCACUUAGAUUACCCUAAAUGCAUGAAAAACACCUUCCAGUUCAUUCAGCAGGUGAUGCUCAACCUGGGCAGAGGUGAGCUUGCACCAAAAAUCCAAACACUGAAAAAUCAACUCUCUGUCUAAAACAGUGUUCUGAAAUAUACCACUGUUCCAAAUACCAGUGUUUGGUGCUGUUGCAUGUCUAAAAUGCCAUGUCUACUGUUUUGCACUGUUUGUGAUAUGUUUUUAAGUAUUUCCACUGUCUUUGUGUCUUUCUGAUGAUGAUCAGAUGAUGGUGUUUGUACUGAUCUUGUAGUUUGGUUCCAUCCGUAUUGCUAGGCAUGUUUUAUGGUUUUAUUGUGGUUUUAUUAUUAGCAGGACUUAGGGUCCUUGUAGUCCUCCAGCAAUCCUGUCAUAGUGGGAGCAUGGAAGACACUGGCAUUGUGCACAUCAAAGCUAAAGUUGUGGUUCCACUUUCCAAUUCGUGCAUGUAGAGAGCAGCAGAAGUUAACAGAGAGGAGGCAGUCUUCUUUCCCUUCUAUUAGUUAUAUACCGCCAGGGUCAACCAAGAACAAAUAAUAUGGUUUAAAAAUGUUUCCUGUGCCCCAAGUUAAAAUAAAACAUGAAAAGAAUGUA